rnacentral:rRNA from 1 species
GACGAACGCUGGCGGCGUGCUUAACACAUGCAAGUCGAACGGAAAGACCCUGCUUUUGUGGGGUGCUCGAGUGGCGAACGGGUGAGUAACACGUGAGUAACCUGCCCUUGACUUUGGGAUAACUUCAGGAAACUGGGGCUAAUACCGGAUAGGAGCUCCUGCUGCAUGGUGGGGGUUGGAAAGUUUCGGCGGUUGGGGAUGGACUCGCGGCUUAUCAGCUUGUUGGUGGGGUAGUGGCUUACCAAGGCUUUGACGGGUAGCCGGCCUGAGAGGGUGACCGGCCACAUUGGGACUGAGAGACGGACCAGACUCGUACGGGAGGCAGCAGUGGGGAAUAUUGCACAAUGGGCGGAAGCCUGAUGCAGCAACGCCGCGUGCGGGAUGACGGCCUUCGGGUUGUAAACCGCUUUCGCCGGUGACGAAGCGUGAGUGACGGUAAUGGGUAAAGAAGCACCGGCUAACUACGUG